rnacentral:rRNA from 1 species
GACGAACGCUGGCGGCGUGCCUAAUACAUGCAAGUAGAACGCUGAAACUUGGUGCUUGCACCGAGCGGAUGAGUUGCGAACGGGUGAGUAACGCGUAGGUAACCUGCCUGGUAGCGGGGGAUAACUAUUGGAAACGAUAGCUAAUACCGCAUAAGAGUAGAUGUUGCAUGACAUUUGCUUAAAAGGUGCAAUUGCACCACUACCAGAUGGACCUGCGUUGUAUUAGCUAGUUGGUGGGGUAACGGCUCACCAAGGCGACGAUACAUAGCCGACCUGAGAGGGUGAUCGGCCACACUGGGACUGAGACACGGCCCAGACUCCUACGGGAGGCAGCAGUAGGGAAUCUUCGGCAAUGGACGGAAGUCUGACCGAGCAACGCCGCGUGAGUGAAGAAGGUUUUCGGAUCGUAAAGCCCUGUUGUAAGAGAAGAACGAGUGUGAGAGUGGAAAGUUCACACUGUGACGGUAUCUUACCAGAAAGGGACGGCUAACUACGUG